rnacentral:sRNA from 1 species
CAGCCGAGGGCCCAAUUUUUCGAAGUGA